CCCCUAGAUGUUCUGGGCCGCACGCGCGCUACACUGAACAGUUCAACAAGUCUUAACCUUGGCCGAUAGGUCUGGGUAAUCUUUGAACGCUGUUCGUGAUUGGGAUAGACCUUUGCAAUUAUGGGUCUUCAACGAGGAAUUCCUAGUAAACGCAAGUCAUCAGCUUGCAUUGAUUACGUCCAUGCCCUUUGUACACACCGCCCGUCGCACCUACCGAUUGAAUGGUCCGGUGAAAUCUCGGGACGGCGGCUUGGUCGCUUGCGUCCGACUGCUGAAACUUGAUUAAACCAUAUCAUUUAGAGGAAGGUGAAGUCGUAACA
rnacentral:rRNA from 1 species